rnacentral:misc_RNA from 1 species
UCGAUAAGUAGUUUUAUGGCACUUUUAAAUCCAUAUCCACCUUGUGUGCCAAUGUCGGUCGAUCUCUUUUUUUGAGGAUCUGACCAACAUCAACCUUAUUUUUUAACUCUUUGGUCUGAAAAUAUUAUGAAUAAACAAUCCAAAUA